rnacentral:rRNA from 1 species
UGGGGAAUUUUGCGCAAUGGGCGAAAGCCUGACGCAGCGACGCCGCGUGGAGGAAGACGGCCUUUGGGUUGUAAACUCCUUUCAUGAGGGAAAAUGUCCCGAGCAAUCGGGAUGAUGGUACCUCAAGAAGAAGCCACGGCUAACUCUGUGCCAGCAGCCGCGGUAAUACAGAGGUGGCAAGCGUUGUUCGGAUUUACUGGGCUUAAAGGGCGUGUAGGCGUCCUGGUAAGUCAGAUGUGGAAGCCUUGGGCUUAACCCAAGAAUUGCAUUUGAUACUGUCGGGAUUGAGUCGUACAUGGGAGGGCGGAAUUCCUGGUGUAGCGGUGAAAUGCGUAGAUAUCAGGAGGAAGGCCAGUGGUGAAGACGGCCCUCUGGGUAAUGACUGACGCUGAGGCGCGAAAGCGUGGGUAGCAAACAGGAUUAGAUACCCUGGUAGUCCACGCCCUAAACGGUGGGUACUAGGUGUGGGUGGCGAUAGUCAUCUGUGUCAAAGGGAAACCGAUAAGUACCCCGCCUGGGGAGUACGGCCGCAAGGUUG